rnacentral:lncRNA from 1 species
GGCUUUGCGUGGGAAUGUAAAGUGACCCACACCAUAUUCACUUACAUAUACCGCUAGUUGCCAUGUGCUCUUCUCCCUCUCUGUCUGACUCUUCAUUCCUGCCUCCUGUGACCUGGGGACAGAGGACUGCCCUCUUGACUCAUUGUGCCUCCCUGCCCAGGAUCUGAUGUUCUGCUCUGAUUGGCAGGGAGAGUUUGAAGGUGGGUUGGCAGAGACUGUGACCGCAACUGACUGCGUUCUGCAGAAUUAUGGUAAUGAAAUUGGAAGCCAACUUUCGUGAAGCAGAAAGCCUCAAGUUUCCAGGUGCUGUGCUCAGUCCAGGAAUACAAUGAUGAAUACGAUCAAGGCCCUUUCAGAGCUGACACACACUAUACAUAAUGCAUCAAAAAUUGCGUUCUCGCUAUAUUUCUGUUUAUUUGGUUUUAUCUGCAAGAAUAUAGAUAGCAUCUGCUUUGAUAUAAAACUUUUAUGUGUCUUAUGUAGUUGAUUUGUAAAUGUCCUAUCUAUAAAUAUAAAACAAUAAAUUACUAGUUACAGUUAACUUAGGAAAACUUUUAAUCAUGUCCUACAUUUUACACCUUGUAAUUUCUACCAAAUGUUUGUAUUUUUAUGUCUUAUUAAAUAUAAUAAAUAUUUGUCUUAACAUAUUUUAAUAGAAUUCCUCAUAUGUUUUGCAGAAAGCUAAUUAUGGUUUUC